AUAAAUGAUGGGUAUGGUGCACACCCGAAACCGCUUUAAGAAUAAAAUCUUAAAACUAAUGGCGCCUACAAACAA
ncrna:Lactococcus lactis subsp. lactis Il1403 Fluoride riboswitch